AUUGAACGCUGGCGGCAUGCUUUACACAUGCAAGUCGAACGGUAACAGGCCGCAAGGUGCUGACGAGUGGCGAACGGGUGAGUAAUGCAUCGGAACGUGCCCAGUCGUGGGGGAUAACGCAGCGAAAGCUGUGCUAAUGCCGCAUACGAUCUAUGGAUGAAAGCGGGGGACCGUAAGGCCUCGCGCGAUUGGAGCGGCCGAUGUCAGAGUAGGUAGGUGGUGGGGUAAAGGCUCACCAAGCCAACGAUCUGUAGCCGGUCUGAGAGGACGACCAGCCACACUGGGACUGAGACACGGCCCAGACUCCUACGGGAGGCAGCAGUGGGGAAUUUUGGACAAUGGGCGCAAGCCUGAUCCAGCAAUGCCGCGUGCAGGAAGAAGGCCUUCGGGUUGUAAACUGCUUUUGUACGGAACGAAAAGGUUUGGGUUAAUACCCUGGGCCGAUGACGGUACCGUAAGAAUAAGCACCGGCUAACUACGUGCCAGCCGCCGCGGUAAUAC
rnacentral:rRNA from 1 species